AACGAACGCUGGCGGCAGGCUUAACACAUGCAAGUCGAACGCGUGUAGCAAUACACGAGUGGCGCACGGGUGAGUAACGCGUGGAUAUCUGCCUUUUGGUUCGGAAUAACCCCGGGAAACUGGGGCUAAUACCGGAUGGUUCCUUCGGGAUAAAGAUUUAUCGCCAAAAGAUGAGUCCGCGUCCGAUUAGCUAGUUGGUGAGGUAAUGGCUCACCAAGGCGACGAUCGGUAGCUGGUCUGAGAGGACGAUCAGCCACACUGGGACUGAGACACGGCCCAGACUCCUACGGGAGGCAGCAGUGGGGAAUAUUGGACAAUGGGGGCAACCCUGAUCCAGCCAUGCCGCGUGAGUGAUGAAGGCCUUCGGGUUGUAAAGCUCUUUUGGCGGGGACGAUGAUGACGGUACCCGCAGAAUAAGCCCCGGCUAACUUCGUGCCAGUAGCCGCCGUAACAC
rnacentral:rRNA from 1 species